AAAUAAACAAUGACAUUUCAAUAGAAAGCCGUGUUUUCCUGACAUUAUUUCGCGGAUAUAUGCCGUAUUUUAGUCUCAUCACAUGCAACUUGAACUGCAAAGAUGUUGUGGCAUGCGUCUGCCGCAGCGGUGCGCCCGCGUUGACAGCAGCGCAGGAAACACUGCCACAGAGCAAAAACAUCGAUCUUCAGAUUCAGAAGAAGAGCUAGGGACAAAACGAAGUCGCUUUAAAGACAUUUUAUCGUAGAAAUAGAUAUUUUAACCAGCUUUACUGCUCUAUAAUGGAUGCAAUUGGACAAGCUUUAAGCGGGAGCGUACUUACAGAAUAUGGGAUGUGUUUGCACCGUUAUACCCAGCCAACAGAAACAGAGCUCUGGGACAUGUGGACAGACACUGACUGUAAUGAUGGACAUCUACAAAUGCACAGGCAAGAAGCAUAACCCCUUCUGGACAUUGUGCUGGAGCUCGGGGGGGACCCCAUGAUCCCCCACACCUUCUCACUCACGCCACACCAUUCACUCAUAUCGCGGAGAUCUGGCUGGAUUCGAACCAGCAACCUCUGAACCGGGUUUGGAGCAGAAGGUGGAAGACGGAAAUGUCUAUGCAACCCAAAACCUUGGACCAGAGAGGUGAUGGUCAACUCAGAUUACAGACUGUGACCUCUGUGUGGUUGACAGCUGACUUUGAGAGGAAAAAAGGUCACUGCUGAUGUCUAGCAGAACCAGACCUAUAGCAAAACCCAAUGAAACUUGUAA
ensembl:lncRNA